CACGAGAAAACCUUACCGGGACUCGGAGUCUGAGGAAUCGGUACAGUCACUGUGAAUUGUGAUCACUGAUCACGAGGAAUUGGAGGCUUGAAGCCGAUACACUCGCAGUAAAUUGGGACAGUCGCAGCAAACGACGAUACGAAUAGCCGUUUGCCUUCGGGACCACGACGCUUGAGAGUCUGAGAGGAACUAGCCCUCGAUUUCGAGGACACGGACGUACAUGGCUCCAUCCAGCUCAAUGUGCUUGGAUAUUGCAGGGAAAGACGGGACAAAGGGGCCUGUAGGAUUUUUGAUGCGGAGCAAGAGGAGGUAGUGGCAGGUCCGGCAACCGCAGGGCGAGGAGAGGAUCCGUGGUCUGAGAGUCGCUAGGAAUCUGGUAUGGAAGUAUAAAGUAUGAACAGUGCGCUUUUCGUCUGCAAUGGUAAUGACCUAACAAAGUAGUACAUCAUCAAAUUACUCUUCCUAAACCCUGUUCAAGCCUUCCAGGUUCAACAGUUCAACUCAAAGUUUUUGCCCUUUAAUCCCUGUGCAAUCCUUUUCGUGAUGGGACGAAAAGCGAAAGGGAGAGGACGUGUUGGCUGAAAAUAAUAGGAUUUUUUCUUCUGUUGAGAAGAUCAACUGAUAGAUCUUUAUGCCUCCCUCAAAACCCGCAAGUUCGACCCCCCCCUGCUUUCACUUCUGUUUUACUCUCGGAAUCAAAGUAUAGACUUCUCACUGUCUCAGAAAUCAAUUUGCUAACCGAGGAUAGUUCUGGUUUUGGGGCUUUGCAGAACAUCUCAAGGUUUUCUUCUUCUCCACAGACUUCUCAUUCUCCUUUUGAGCUUAAAACCACAAUGAGACCAUCUUGUUAUCAUCGCUUUCUCUUUCCAUCAAGCGGUGGUCACUGGUUCCGUUCUCAGACCAUUUUUGAACCCAAGACCUCCGAUGGCCUUACUGUCGAUGUCAUUGUUGCUAGUUGAUGGACUAUAACUCUGACGAAAGCGAAGGCGAUUGGAAGAGUCACGCCACUACCACCGCUCAAUCCAUUCAGCUAAUCAAGAAGCGCUCAGUGUCAGUUUUGUAUGAUGACAGUGGAAGACGACGGUAGUCAGGUUAGAGAUGCUAUCAAUCUAACCUUUGGGAUGGCCCUGUCAUGCUGGGAAGAUAAGCCGUGAGCAUGGUACUCUAAUGGGUAAAUGAAGGAAGUGAAUGGAUUUGAGCGAGAAUUACUCGAACACAUUGAUAUGCGAAAGCUUGCAUGCAAAGAGAAUGAUGGAGAAUUGAAAUCAAUGGGCCGUUGCAACUUCUUCCU